UGGGCUACAUCAAAAUGCAAUGGUGGUAACUGGACCUAUACAUGCUGUGCCUACUAUGGGGCUGGGAGAUGGCACCCCAUGAGAUCGGAGAUGGCGCCGGCUUGGCGAGGAUGUGGGUGUGCGGUUUGAGCUCGAUGGCGACACUGUGGCCCACUUGGAUGGGGACAACAGCGGUGCGACGUGGAUGGUGGCAUGGGUAUGGCCGUGGUUCGUUGGAGGACAGGAGGAGACGGUGCUACCGCGGACGGUUGCCGGAUUUUGGGUAGAUGACCCAUGGUUGUGGUGCUGCGUGGCCCGGGAGAAGCGCUGGUGCGAGCUGACUCCGCCACGUUGUGUCGCGUACGUGGCCACGCGGGAUCAGUGCGGGGCAGUGCCUUGGCGGAGUUCGACUACGCCGACCGCCGACAUGGUGGUGAUGGGGAAUCAAUAUGACAGAGGGGUUCGAGCGAAAGUACGGUGCGCCUGUUGGGUCCUGGGUGGCUGGGUUAGCGAAGGGAGAUGAAAGCGAUAGGAGAUAGAAUCGGGCGAGGCACACGUACCAUGAUCGUGAACAAACGGUAGAUGAAGUGUUUGAGCGUAACACUAGGAAAGUUUGUAAGUUACAUAUCUUGUUCUUUCGCAGUCAAUGCUCAAUUGUCUCUAGAUUAUCUUUCCAUAUUUAGUGCAGAUUUUUUUUUAAAUCUGUCUUAUUUGCUUAAUGUUUUGUGUGAGAACAACAUUGCAUUGCUUGUGAUUUCUCCAUACCCAAACUACAUUCCAUUGACUUUGUUGUACUUCUUAUCUCAAGAGCAGAAGGUUAGUUUAGCUCGAAGAUUUGCACUAGUUCCCUUGGGCCCACCACUGUUGACGUACAAGAGCAACUGCAAAGCAAUGCUGACUGCUGUUGAUGGUUCUGUUCGAUUGCUGGUCGAUCGGCCGUACAAAGCAGGAGAACCAAUAAUUGUUUGGUGUGGGCCUCAACCAAACUCCAGGUUGCUUCUCAAUUAUGGUUUUGUUGAUGAAGACAAUCCAUAUGAUCGCAUAGCAAUCGAGGCAUCCCUAAACACUGAAGAUCCUCAAUACCAAGAGAAGAGAAUGGUCGCUCAAAGAAAUGGAAAGCUUGCUAUCCAAAAAUUCCAAGUCUGUGUAGGCAAAGAGAAGGAAACUAUUUCUGAAAUGCUGCCAUACUUGAGACUAGGAUACAUUUCAGAUCCAGAUGAAAUGCAAUGUAUACUUUCGUCAGAAGGUGAUACAUGUCCAGUUAGUCCAUGCUCAGAGCGAGCUGUACUUGACCAACUUGUUGUCUACCUGAAAUCAAGAUUGGCUGGUUAUCCGACUACUUUGGACGAGGAUGAAGCAAUGUUGGCCGAGGGCAGUUUGGAGCCAAAGAAAGAAGUUGCCACUAGACUUGUAAGGUUAGAGAAGAAAAUGCUGCAUGGCUGUCUUCAGGCUGCUAACGAGUUCAUAAGUGGCUUGCCUGAUCAUACCGUAUCACCUUGCCCUGCUCUAUAUGCUCCUGAAUUGAAAUAAGCUGUUCUGAUAGGCUACUGCCAAUAAAUUCAAUGUUCCACAGAGAAGCAAGUGUGCAGUGAGAUUCAAUUAUUGCUAGAUGGACAUAUCACUUCAGGACACGUUCUCUGUUAAGUGCAUCAUUAGAAGGAAACCUGUUCGAGUGUAACAAGGAUAUUGUCGAUCUCCACUAGAUCUGCAAACAGUUUUAUUGCACACAAAUGUGCAUUGAUUUGCUUUUCCAGCCGUGUAGAUUCGUUCUGUGUGUUCAUUUUCAUGAUUGAGAGUUAGCAAUGGUAUCUUGGACAUGCUCACUUUCCAUUUUGUGCAUAGAAGAACAUGCACGAAAAUUGGCUUGGCUCAGCUAUUCUAUUGUAACGGCUGGUUUAGAAUUACCGAAUCUGUCGAUCCAGAGCUGGUAAUUGCAUGACAGUAGUUAUGCUCUGAUGCUGCAUACCGCUAUUUGUAGUUUGAUUAUCUUCUCGAUGCUUUGCCAAAAAUUCGUUUCUUUGCCCAA